rnacentral:rRNA from 1 species
CGGAUGGGUGAGUAACACGUGGGGAACCUGCCCCUAAGUCUGGGAUACCAUUUGGAAACAGGUGCUAAUACCGGAUAAUAAAGCAGAUCGCAUGAUCAGCUUUUGAAAGGCGGCGUAAGCUGUCGCUAAGGGAUGGCCCCGCGGUGCAUUAGCUAGUUGGUAAGGUAACGGCUUACCAAGGCGACGAUGCAUAGCCGAGUUGAGAGACUGAUCGGCCACAUUGGGACUGAGACACGGCCCAAACUCCUACGGGAGGCAGCAGUAGGGAAUCUUCCACAAUGGACGCAAGUCUGAUGGAGCAACGCCGCGUGAGUGAAGAAGGUUUUCGGAUCGUAAAGCUCUGUUGUUGGUGAAGAAGGAUAGAGGUAGUAACUGGCCUUUAUUUGACGGUAAUCAACCAGAAAGUCACGGCUAACUACGUGCCAGCAGCCGCGGUAAUACGUAGGUGGCAAGCGUUGUCCGGAUUUAUUGGGCGUAAAGCGAGCGCAGGCGGAAAAAUAAGUCUAAUGUGAAAGCCCUCGGCUUAACCGAGGAACUGCAUCGGAAACUGUUUUUCUUGAGUGCAGAAGAGGAGAGUGGAACUCCAUGUGUAGCGGUGGAAUGCGUAGAUAUAUGGAAGAACACCAGUGGCGAAGGCGGCUCUCUGGUCUGCAACUGACGCUGAGGCUCGAAAGCAUGGGUAGCGA